UGCAUAGAAAAAUGAUUGUCAUAACUGCCAUGAGCAAAAACAUUUGAUUUUAGUACACAUAUACACAUGUAACGUACUGAUUCAUACGAGGAAGUUACACCAUAAGUUCUGGGAAGUUACAUGGUAAAUGUUGGGAAGUUACACUUUAAAACCCCAAUUGUUACUCCCUUGUUUCUCGUUGUUUUGUUUUCUUCCGCUGUACCUACAUUUAAGUACCAGUAAGAACCGGAAAGUAUUUUAGGCUAUAUGUACGCAUUCAUACGAGGAAGUUACACCGUAAGUUCCAGGAAAUUACAUGUGGUUCACCAGCUUGCACUUGGAUCCCAAGAGGCACUGCUUCCACAGCAUAUGUUAACAGGGACACCGCUGUGUCGAGUGACGUCCUACAUAGCAGUGUUCACAGAUGCGUCCCUGAUGGGGUUGGGGGCACAUGUCUGGGGAGAGUGAUAGGUGGUGUGUGACCUUCAGGGCAAACCAACACACCAACCUCCUUGAACUUCAGGCAGUGCUCUUGGUUCUCAAACACUUCCUAACCCUGGUUCAGGGAAGACACAUGUUAGUGAGAGCAGACAACUGCAUCACGUUUGCCUACAUCAACACGCAGGGCCAAGUCCAGUCCGCAGCCCUGUUGAAGAUGGCAGAGAACCUGUUGGUGUGGGCCUCAGAACACCUCCUGUCGAUGCAGCUGAAAUAUCAGCUUGUCUAGUUAGGUGAUAAAGGUAAUUAAAUACCAGAGACACAGUAUUUUUCUUGUAGUCCAAGUGAAUUUAACAAAUCACUAAAGUGUAUGCAUAUGGGCUCCUCAAGCUCUGCAGCAAGAGGAGCACCUUGAACAACUCACACAAACACUUACACUAUACUUUCAGCCUCUGACCAAUACAACCGUGAACACAAGCACCUUGUGCGUAGUCAUACGUCUCUGUCUGCAAACACGUUUCCUGUAAGAAAAUCAAUAACAAUUCCAUAUAUGGUGUCAUGCCUGUCUUGUGCAACUCCCAGUUUUUGCAUUUAGUUCCCUUUUCCAACUAUCACUUCUUAGAAUCGGGCUCACCAUGUAUCACACACUUAGAUAACGUUAAUUAAGAUAACCUUUUCUUUUUCUUCUUUCGCUACAAACUAGACAUUAAUUUGCCUACACAAACAAGGUGCGUGACAUCUUGGCAAGAUUUCUUACUUAAAAAACAGAACAAUGUGGUUACAACAUAUAAAGGUCAAUAGACAGGGUCAAGAGUGCAUCAUGUUUUUUAAAGACAAAACUGAUCAGGUGAUCACACUUCUACACAGGAUUAAUGAUCAUCAAAGUAUUAAUACAACAAUAUAGUAAUUUCUCCAAAAGUACACUUCUAAUUACCAUUUUUUCCUCCACACUCCUGUCUCUGAGAGCCCUUCACAUUCCAGGUCCAGAGAACAGAGUCGCCAACUUCAUGUCAAGAGGUGGCCCUCCGGUGGACAAGUGGGUGCUCCACCCCAAGGUGGCACAGCAGAUUUGGAACCGGCUCGGGAGAGUGGAAGUGGACCUGUUCAUCAGUCAUUAGUGAGAGUGCAGUUCAGCCCACUUAUAUGUGAUUUCUGACUAAAUCUUAAAAUAGCCAGCAAAAUAACAGACUACAGGACGUGACAAGAUAAUUGAGAGUGCCUGUAAUUCUUGUGCAUCAUGGCGUUUUAUGACAUUUAUGGCAAGUUCAGCAUCUACUGUAUGUACACAAUUAUUAUAUUCACUAAAGGUGAAGAUAACAUCCAUGAUAUUUUAUUAAUGAUUCUGUUUUCUCUGUCCACACUGGAGCUCUGCUUAAAUUCUCUCUCAAUUUAAAUAAAAGAAAAUCAUCUUGUGUACCCUUUCUUCUAGUGUUAUGUCCAUAAGGCGUACAUCCAGUCAGAUUGUAUGAAUACACUGAUGUCAGAAGCGCUAUUUAUAUCAAUUUUAUGCAUACUGUAUUAUACAUUUGAGGCAGUUAAAUAUAGACUGACAGAUUACUUGCCUCUGUCUUUGCCAGUCAUAAAGCCUAGAAUAGGUCUUUCAUAACUUUUAUAUCAGCUCUAAGAUUUUUAUAUUUUAGAAAUGUGCAAAAGAAAUGUAUCUCUCUUGAUGUUUCCAUAAUUAAACUUUCAAACAAAUUUA